rnacentral:rRNA from 1 species
AUUGAACGCUGGCGGCAGGCCUAACACAUGCAAGUCGAGCGAGCGGCGGACGGGGGAGUAAUGUCUGGGAAACUGCCGGAUGGAGGGGGAUAACUACUGGAAACGGUAGCUAAUACCGCAUACCAUCGGAUGUGCCCAGAUGGGAUUAGCGAGAAGGUGGGGUAACGGCUCACAUAGGCGACGAUCCCUAGCUGGUCUGAGAGUAUGACCAGCCACACGGGAACUGAGACACCGCCCAGCCUCCUACGGGAGGCAGGAGUGGGGAAUAUUGCACAAUGGGCGAAUGCCUGAUGCAGCCAUGCCGCGUGUAUGAAGAAGUCUUUCGGGUUGUAAAGUACUUUCUGCGGGGAGGCGUUACCCGCAGAAGAAGCACCGGUUACUUCCUUGCCAGCAGCCGCGGUAAUA